UAUACAUAUCAGCUAUUGCUACGAGCAGCUUGAGUGUGAAGCUGAGUUCUCAGUGUCUCUGCUGAAGUUAUUGCUGUCUUUACACAACUUUAAGGUUUCUAUUGCAGAGUCCUAGAGGAGCCUGCCUAAAAGAGAAACUUGAGAAUGGAUUUUGCUGUGGCAUUGGUGGACUUCUCUCCCUGAAACCAUGGCCAGGGGGUGUGUGUGCGUGUGGUGAUGACUAUCAGAAGUCUUCCUGGAGUGGUUGCCAGGUUACUUACCCUGUAAAUAGGAAAAUACAGAGGCAUAAAAAUCCCUGAGCAAUGACGUGGACCUGUGUUGGCUGGCUUAGCUCCAGAUCAAAACUAUCAUGUCUAAUGAUUGUUGAAUUUCUUCUGUCUGUGUAAACAUUGCUCUUACAUGUCUGCUUUCCCUCUGUUUCAUUAUUGACCAAAUUUCCUGAUACUGAGAACUUUGCUCCAAAGAAAUGGGACAGAUCUGGCUAUUUUUGCAUAAAGAAAAAUAUUAUUGGCAGACAACUGUUGAGAUUUUCCGAAUCAAGGUUCUGACGUGAAGACUCAUGAUUGCUUGAAAACUAUCUCAGAUUGAGAUAAAUUCAGACAGUGCGGGUCUACAAGGUUGUCCUCUUCCUGCUAAGAAAAGACUUGUCUAAUGAAGCUUGGAGCUCUUACAUAUUUUUGGAGCUGAAAGGCACUGUGAUGCAUAGUUAAAUGUAUAUGUACAGUAACACUGUUCAGACAGUAUAGACACUGGAGAAACUCCGGCUGGGAAUCUUGCAGGAUCAAGAAUCAGAAGGGACUCUCAGUGGUUACUCUAUUCUUCCUUCUGCUUCUCAUGCGUGAGUUUUCUAUUUAAACUUUGUUUUAAAGAUGACCUCCAAUGCUGCAAACCUCAGUCCCCAGGCAGUCAAGGCCAAUGCUUUGUUGUCAUUAGAAUAUUUUCUUCUCAUAUCUAGCAUGAUCCUCCUGCUGCAAUUUAAUCUGGUUACUUGUCCUGUUCUCAAUGGAGAACAAAUUACGACCUCUUUUUGGAGUUGCUAUUCUGGAACUCUGUAAAACACCCCUUUUCUGCCUUCUCUCUUUUAUAUUGUAGAAUGAGGAAAGCAAGUUUUAGUCUGUCCUCAUGGGUUAUUAUAUCUAUAUUGCUGUGCUGUGUGCUCUUUAACACUGGUUUAAAAAUCCUUCUUAAUAUGCUUUGCUCAAAACUGGACGCACCUCUUCAGUCAAGACCUUGUCAGUAAUUUGCCAAAGACUAUCUGGCUUAUGUACCACUAUGGAACAUCCCUUUUUGCCCACUGCCUCAAGUUAUUCACUCAUGCUGACAUGAACUGUGCCACCUGAUUUGUAAGAAGUUUGAUCAAUCAGGCUUGGUGAACUAAUCAAUCCCCUGUACUUUAUUGAAAGACCCUUUGUAAUGGCAGUGCAGAGCUUCACUGCAGCAGAAUCUCCUUUUAUUUUUGUACAAUCAGCCUGGUUUUUAUUCUCUAAUUUCAUUUGAAGUAGGCUACGAGGAGAAUUGAGGGACAGAGAGAGCAUCAGAUGUUAUCUGAUCAAAUACAGAGAGAUAAGUUUUGAUCUCAAUUAUGUAAGUGUAGAAACAGAUUUUUCUAGAUUUAUCAUGGUGUAAUAGAAUUAAGUUUAUUAAAAUUAAAACAGCCAUAUUGAAAGCUAGUAUUUGUACUACUUUACCAGUUUUAGGAGAAUUACUGAGUUGUCCUAGAAGAUAGAAUGUUUGUUCCUGGGGUACCAGAGAAAUUUUUCUUCAGCUGUCUGCAUCCAAUUAUUUUUUUGUAUUAUACUUCCCUGCCUCUAUCCCCUCACUUUUCCUUCUCUUUUAUUCUAUUUGAGCAAUUAUUUCUUUUUCUAGUCUGGGUAGUAGCAGUCUCUCUUUUGAAAAUAAAAAGCAAAGAAAUCAAAACACAGAAAAAUUAAACAAAAGGCAUUCUAGUUUGGAAGAUUCUUCUCGUUAAAUGUCGAUGACUCAUCAACAUUGAAAACUAGAAAUUUGCAGAAUAUUUUAUCAUCUUUGCUUGUCAAUGGCAAGUACAAUGUGUAAGCUAAAAAGAAUCCCUGUGCUUUAUGAAUUUUCAGUUCUAGGUACAGAAAAGACAUGAUAAAAGGAGUAAUGAACUAGGGAAGAGUUGGAGAGAAUUUAGAUUAAAAGAUAAAUAGAUGCUUUGCUAAAUUAUGCCUGACACCCAGGGAAGAAAAGUUUGUUGCUUCAUAAAUGAUGACAUGGCACUGAACAAAACUUCAUGGAGGCAUUUUACCUUAAUAAUUACUCGUUACUGAAUAGUGUGGCAGUUGGCUGAUUGGAGGACUUAAUGAGAUGUUUUUGUGUGACUACCCUUAACUGUUUGUGGCAGUCAAGUUGUACAAAUCAUUUCAGUAAUGCACAUUUUAAGCUAAUAGCAGACAAUGUUAUUCCCAAUUAAGGUCACAGUUCCUGCUAACUUGACAGGUAAUGUCAGGGCUGAAAGUCUGAUGGGAUAAAAUUCUGGAGGGAAAUGCUCUUGGAUAUGGAAUUGUGAAUCCCAGAGGAUUAUCAAGUCAUGGCUGAUGAUUUAGGGUACACAAAGUCAUAAAGUGUUAGACUGAUUUUUGCCUGCAGGAUUAGAUUAUUUUACUAUCUAUAGGGAACCAUCACACUUGCACCCCAACAUGAAAACAGAGUUGAUGGGCAGCAGAGCACAUUAGCCUCGUUUAAAGUCUUCCUCACAGUUCACCUUAUUUCCUUGCUCGUUCACUUUGUCAGUGAGGCCAACAGAGAGGCUCUGCAGUAUUAUGAAGCCGAAAAAAGGAACGUAUGCCUUGUCAGACUUGAUGCUUCUUACGUAGAAGUUUGCACAUAUCUUAUCCUCAAGUGUUGUUCCGCAGCUUCCUUCUUUGUAGGGGUGCAGCACCUAGUAUCCCCAGACUGUAUUUGAGACUCUUCCAUUUAGAUAUGUCACACACAUCUUGCUCGAUCAGGUGGUGUUAACUAGUUGCUAUCAUUGGGUUUGGAUGCUCAUGGAAGAAAUCAGCUGGGUUGGAAAAUAUUAACUUUGACAUUUAUUUAAAUUGCAGCUUGAUUUUUAUCUCCUUUUUUGAGGUUCAGUGAAUUGCAUUUGCUGUCAAUUUAUUGUUAAAAAUAGAACUUCAUGUGAACUCUCAGUAGGUCUCUCUGUAAUGAUUAUGUUACAUACUUGUACACUGUACUCACUGUAUAUCAACUGGAGUUGAACUAAGCUACCCCUGUGGUAUAAGACACGUGGAGCUUUAUUGGAAUAAAAUAAAAAUAACCUAAAUGAAGAAUAAAUUCCAGCUUAAUAACAGGAGGACUAACUAGUC